GACGAACGCUGGCGGCGUGCCUAACACAUGCAAGUCGAACGAUGAAGCCUAGCUUGCUAGGUGGAUUAGUGGCGAACGGGUGAGUAAUACGUGAGUAACCUACCUUUAACUCUGGGAUAAGCCCGGGAAACUGGGUCUAAUACCGGAUACGACCAAUCUCCGCAUGGGGUGUUGGUGGAAAGCGUUAUGUAGUGGUUAUAGAUGGGCUCACGGCCUAUCAGCUUGUUGGUGAGGUAACGGCUCACCAAGGCGACGACGGGUAGCCGGCCUGAGAGGGUGACCGGCCACACUGGGACUGAGACACGGCCCAGACUCCUACGGGAGGCAGCAGUGGGGAAUAUUGCACAAUGGGCGCAAGCCUGAUGCAGCGACGCCGCGUGAGGGAUGACGGCCUUCGGGUUGUAAACCUCUGUUAGCAGGGAAGAAGAGAGAUUGACGGUACCUGCAGAGAAAGCGCCGGCUAACUACGUGCCAGCAGCCGCGGUAAUACGUAGGGCGCGAGCGUUGUCCGGAAUUAUUGGGCGUAAAGAGCUUGUAGGCGGUUUGUCGCGUCUGCUGUGAAAGGCCGGGGCUUAACUCCGUGUAUUGCAGUGGGUACGGGCAGACUAGAGUGCAGUAGGGGAGACUGGAAUUCCUGGUGUAGCGGUGGAAUGCGCAGAUAUCAGGAGGAACACCGAUGGCGAAGGCAGGUCUCUGGGCUGUAACUGACGCUGAGAAGCGAAAGCAUGGGGAGCGAACAGG
rnacentral:rRNA from 1 species